rnacentral:rRNA from 1 species
GAUGAACGCUGGCGGCGUGCCUAAUACAUGCAAGUCGAGCGAACAGACGAGGUGCUUGCUCCUCUGACGUUAGCGGCGGACGGGUGAGUCACACGUGGAUAACCUACCUAUAAGACUGGGAUAACUUAGGGAAACCGGAUCUAAUACCGGAUAAUAUAUUGAACCGCAUGGAUCAAUAGUGAAAGACGGUUUUGCUGUCACGUAUAGAUGGAUCCGCGCCGCUUUAGCUAGUUGGUAGGGUAACGGCUUACCAAGGCGACGAUGCGUAGCCGACCUGAGAGGACGACCAGACACACUGGGACUGAGACACGGCCCAGACUCCUACGGGAGGCAGCAGUGGGGAAUUUUGGAAAAUGGGGGCGACCCUGAUCCAGCCAUGCCGAGUGAGGGAAGAAGGCCUUCGGGUUGUAAACCGCUUUUGUUCGGGAAGAAAUCCUCUGGGCUAAUACCCCGGGGGGAUGACGGUACCGGAAGAAUAAGCACCGGCUAACUACGUG